rnacentral:misc_RNA from 1 species
AUAAUGGUAAUAAGAGAACUUAUAGGUAGGAUUUCUGUCAUUUUCCAAUACAAAAUCAAAGCUAAAAUUUUAGAGCUUUUGGGGCCCAUUUCUCUACAUUUAUACAGCGAAUACAGAGAAGGUAUGUCACUAUAUAUGGAUGUAUAUCUCGUGUAUACUGCUGUAUAUAAACCUUCUUGGACUCUUGAACACCUGUACAUCAAAUUUUGAGAACCUGCUCUUCGAUUCUUCAACUCAGAAAAGGGGCUGACUCGAUAAGAGGGGAAAUUGAGACUUUAUGGCUCUCCCAAAAUGCAAAGGGAAUGAUUAG